CGGCUCUCACAGGAGUCCGGUUAGAAUCUUGAAGGCGGUCGACCGUCGUAGAAACUCGGAUGGAGUCCGAUUUCUGUAGAAACCUCGUUGUCGAAGAAGCUCGAAUAUUGACGGAGUCCGGAAGGAAUUCGGAGAAUAGUUGGUCACUAUAGAAGGUCGGCUGACAGUGAGGUCUAGAGAGCCUUUGGAACGGCAUGGUAGAUGGAUGGAGAAGCUCAUUAUCGGAGAAGUCCGGAAGCUCGGACGGUCGGGGAGGAUUCAGAGAGACGCCAC
rnacentral:lncRNA from 1 species